AGAGUUUGAUCCUGGCUCAGAACGAACGCUGGCGGCGCGUUUUAAGCAUGCAAGUCGAGCGGCAAGGGCCUUUGGGCCCCUAGAGCGGCGGACGGGUGAGUAACACGUGGACAAUCUGCCCCCCGGCCGGGGAUAGCCCAGGGAAACCUGGAUUAAUACCGGAUGAGACGGGACCCGCGGAGGCGGGAUCCGGGAAAGGCGCUGCGGCGCCGCCGGGGGAUGAGUCUGCGUCCCAUUAGCUAGACGGCGGGGUGAAGGCCCACCGUGGCGACGAUGGGUAGCCGGCCUGAGAGGGUGGACGGCCACAUUGGAACUGAGACACGGUCCAGACUCCUACGGGAGGCAGCAGCUAAGAAUCUUCCGCAAUGGGCGAAAGCCUGACGGAGCGACGCCGCGUGAACGAAGAAGGCCGUGAGGUUGUAAAGUUCUUUUCGGGAGGGGGAACAACCGUGGCAGGGAAUGGCCGCGGGAUGACGUGAAUCCCGGAAUAAGCCCCGGCUAACUACGUGCCAGCAGCCGCGGUAACACGUAGGGGGCGAGCGUUGUUCGGAAUCAUUGGGCGUAAAGGGCGUGCAGGCGGUCCUGCAAGUCCGGCGUGAAAGACCCCGGCCCAACCGGGGGGGCGCGCUGGAAACUGCAGGGCUUGAGUACAGGAGGGGAUGCCGGAAUUCCAGGUGUACGGGUGAAAUCUGUAGAUAUCUGGAAGAGCACCAAUGGCGAAGGCAGGCAUCUGGCCAUGUACUGACGCUGAGACGCGAAGGUGCGGGGAGCAAACAGGUUUAGAUACCCUGG
rnacentral:rRNA from 1 species